GAACUGUGCGAACGUUAUUCGGAAUCACUGGGCUUAAAGGGUGCGUAGGCGGUUAUCUAAGUCAGGUGUGAAAUCUCUCGGCUCAACCGGGAAACUGCGCUUGAAACUGGAUGACUGGAGUGAUGCAGGGGUGUGUGGAACUUCCGGUGGAGCGGUGAAAUGUGUAGAUAUCGGAAGGAACGCCAGCAGCGAAAGCGGCACACUGGGCAUUUUCUGACGCUGAGGCACGAAAGCUAGGGGAGUGAACGGGAUUAGAUACCCCGGUAAUCCUAGCCGUAAACACUGAGCACCGGGGGAGGGAGGUUUCGGCCUUCUUUCCCGUAGCGAGAGCGUUAAGUGCUCCGCCUGGGGAGUAUGGUCGCAAGGCUG
rnacentral:rRNA from 1 species